rnacentral:ncRNA from 1 species
AGAAAUGCAGCGAUGAGGAGAGUAACUUUGCGAAAUCAUUUCAGGGAGUCCCGUUAAGUGAGAAGGGAUAAUGAGUCGUUAGGUGAAAGUAACCUCUAAGCAGUAAAUGCGAAGAAAUGAGUAUUUACGGUGGGCACCCCUUAAAGUGCUAGCGUAUCGUCGUCUUAGACUGUACGCGAAGAGACGAUUUGUGUGAGCAGAUCGUGAAUAAAGGUGGUACCACGCAUAAGCGCCCUUGAU